AGAUUGAACGCUGGCGGCAUGCCUUACACAUGCAAGUCGAGCGGCAGCGCGGGGGCAACCCUGGCGGCGAGCGGCGAACGGGUGAGUAAUGCAUCGGAACGUGUCCUCUUGUGGGGGAUAACCAGUCGAAAGACUGGCUAAUACCGCAUGAGCUCGAGAGAGGAAAGCAGGGGAUCCGCAAGGACCUUGCGCGAGAGGAGCGGCCGAUGCCCGAUUAGCUAGUUGGUGGGGUAACGGCCUACCAAGGCGACGAUCGGUAGCUGGUCUGAGAGGACGACCAGCCACACUGGGACUGAGACACGGCCCAGACCUCCGUACGGGAGGCAGCAGGUGGGGAAUUUUGGACAAUGGGGGGCAACCCUGACUCCGAGCCAUCGCCGCGUGUGUAGGAAGAACGGCCGUU
rnacentral:rRNA from 1 species